rnacentral:lncRNA from 1 species
GAAGAUAGAUACCGAAUUAUACAAAAUUCGGGAUCUGUUCUUGCCAGAAAAUCAUAUUAUCUUAGAAUAAAAAUUACCGCUUUCAAGUACUUCAAGUUUCAAUACAAAUGUUAAUUCGAAACGAAGAGCUUUCCCUAAUUGCUAUACCUCAAAAAAUGACAUAUAAUGUAAGACUCCUGCAAUCCAUGUUGAAAAACCCGCACACUAGACCUUGUUCUUUAAUGUAACCAACGACAAUAGACUAAACUAGCAAAUAUUAGAAAACUUAGAAACACACAAGAAUUAUACUGGUUCGGCAGAACUCAUGCCUACGUCCAGUUGUGAUUUCUCUAGGCAGAGAAAUCACCGCUCCUUUGAUUAAUAAUAGAGAUUGCAGAACUUUUGCAAACCCUAGAACUAAUCUCAAAACUCUUGGCUGUCUGGCUGUUUUUUCUCUCUUAAAAAUCAGCCUUGCCGCACCCUAUUUAUAGACAUAGGGUUGGCUUACAUGUCCCAAGGCUGAUUGAAUUCCUAUUUCUAAGUGGACUAGGAAAUUACACUAUCCAAAUCCAAAUAGAUUUGUAGAAAUCCAAACCUAAAUUGAAUAAGGAAACUGAAAUUCUUUCCUAAUCCCUCUAGGACAAGAAUCAGUAUACCUCUAGGUUUCCUAAAACAAUCCUAAACCAACUAGGACAUAUUUGACGAGCCAAAAUCCUAACAAUCUCCACCUUGGUCAGUCAAACCAAGUCUUGAUCGAUGCACCCCAGAGUAUCUUUGAACCUUCUUGAAGCAGCUCUGGAAAUCUUCAAGAGUCUUCACCUUGGCAAUCUUCUUCUUGCCUCAUUGCACCUCAAGUGAGGAGGUGCUCCACUUUAAUCAAUCAACGAGAUUGAUCAAGUUCAAGCAAUGCUUGAACUUCUUGGCCGACACUAUCUUUGUAAGGAAAUCUGCGGCAUUGUCAUCCGUAUGAAUCUUUUCAAUACAAAUUUCCUACCCAAUCUCUGAUUUUGUGAUACCUCGCUUCAAUGUGCUUUGAUCUUCCAAAAAAAACCUAAUUCUUUGCCAAGUGAAUGGCACUUUGACUAUCACACUUCAGCUUCACACAAUCUUGAGUGAUUCCCAUUUGACUUACCAAGCCACUAAGCCAAAUCGCUUCCUUUCCAGCUUCGGCCAAGGCAAUAUACUCUGCCUCUGUGGUCGACAAAGCUGUAAUUGGUUGCAGUAGUGCCCUCCAAUUGAUUGGUCAUCCUGUGCAUGUAAACACAUAACCAGAAGUUGACCUUCUCUUGUCUAAGUCCCCUGCAUCCACAUAUCCUAACACCCCUGCAUUUUCUUUUUGCCUCUCAAACAUAAUCCUUUGUCGCCAAGAACCCUUCAAAUAACGCAAAAUCCACUUGACUGCAUCCCAAUGUUGCUUUCCUGGAUUUGCCAUGUAUCUGGAAACGACACUGAUUGCUUAAGCUAUGUCGGGACGUGUGCAUACCAUUGCAUACAUGAGGCAGCCCACUGCAUUAGCAUAAGGCACAUUCUUCAUUACUUGUUGCUCUUCCUCGGACGUAGGACACUGUUGCCCACUUAACCUGAAGUGAGCCGCCAAAGGAGUCGAAACUACCUUUGCUUCUUGCAUGUUGAACUUCUCAAGAACCUUCUGAAUAUACUUGGCUUGUGAUAUCUAGAUCCUUCCAGCGGUCCUAUCUCUCUGAAUUUCCAUGCCAAGGAUCUUCUGUGCAACACCUAGAUCCUUCAUAUCAAACUCCUUGCUUAACAUCUUUUUCAAGUCUUGAAUUCUAGACUUGUCUUGACAAACAAUUAGCAUGUCAUCCUCAUAUAGCAAUAGCAAUAUGAUCAUUCCAUCUUGGAACACAUGAUAAUACACGCAACAAUCAUAUAAACAUCUUCUAAAAUUGAUUUUCAGCAUGAAUGAAUCAAACCUCUUGUACCAUUGUCUUGGAGACUGUUUCAGGCCAUACAGGGACUUCCUUAGCUGACAUACUAGGUUCUCUUUCCCAUAUUCAACAAGCCCUUAUGGUUGAGCCAUGAAAAUCGUUUCCUCUAUUUCUCCAUGAAGAAACGUUGUCUUCACAUCCAUUUGCUCAAUCUCCAUGUCAUGCUGAGCUGCCAUAGCUAAGAGUAAUCUGAUAGAAGUAUGCUUGACUACAGGUGAAAAUAUCUCAUCAUAAUCCACCCCUUCCUUCUAUGAGUACCCCUUAGCCACGAGCCUUGCUUUGAAUCUCACGGCAUCUUGUUCAUGUAGUCCUUCCUUUUUCCUAAAUACCCACUUGCAUCCAACCAACUAGCUUUUUGUCUUUGGGCUUAGGAACCAACUCCCAAACAGAGUUCUUGUAAAGAGACUCCAUUUCUUCUGUCAUAGCACUUAUCCAACUAUCUCGCUCAUCACUAGCUAUAGCUUCUCGAUAAGUAGUCGGAUCUCCUUGACUAAUGUUAAGAGCAUAAUUAACUUCGUCUUAGUCAAACCCAAAUAUGUCGGGUUUCUUCUUGUUCCGCUUAGGUUUGUCCAAUGCUAUGCAUCUCUGGAAUGCAGGUGGAUUGUUGGUUGGAGUUUGACCCCUUUGGGAUGUCUAGCGGAUUGGAAUGCCUUCAAUUUGUCCUGUUUCUUGCUCCACCUGAUUCCUAACUGGUGAACGAUGUUGAUGCUCUUCUUCUUCCUCAAAACCAUCAGAUUUGGCCUCUUGCUCGAUUUGCUCCACCUGAGCUUCUUCUUCAUCUGAACUGAUUAAUGGAAUCUUUGUUGCUUCAAUUUCAGCAUCGUCCGUCUUCUCCCUACUGCUCUCGACUAUAUUAAGAGGCAUGGUUGUCUCAUCAAAGACAAUAUCUCGACUGACAACCUUUUUCCUGUUGUUGAAAUCUCAAAGCUUGAAACCCUUAACUCCUUUCUCAAAACCUAAGAAUAUGCAAUGUGUAGACUUCGGUUUGAGCUUGGACCUUUCAUCACUUGGAAUAUGUGCAUAAGCACCACAGCCGAACACCCUGAUCUUGGAAUAGUCCUCCGGCUUCUCAGACCAUACCUCUUCUACACUCUUAAAACCGAGAACUGUAGAUGGCGACCUAUUAAUCAAAUAACUUGCAUGAUUAACAAUCUCUGCCCAAAAACUAUCAGGCAAUCCUGCAUGAAAUCGCAUGCUCCUCUCUCCAUGAGAGUUCGGUUCAUCCUCUCAGCAGCUCCAUUUUGUUGGGGAUUCUUCUUUACUGUGAAGUGCCUGAUGAUGCCUUCCUGCUUGCAAUAAUCGGUGAACUCAUUACUUGUACAUUCACCUCCAUUGUCACUUCUCAGGUACUUGAUCUUUCUUCCAGUUUGAUUCUUGGUUUCUGUUUUCCAUUCCUUGAGCUGCAAAAACCUCGGAUUUUUGCUUCAUGAAAUAAACCCAAACCUUCCUAAAAAAAUCAUCCAUGAAAGUAACAAAAUACCUGGCUCCACCAUUUGAUUUAGUUGGUGCAGGGCCCCAAACAUCUGAGUGAAUAUAGCUGAGUUGCUCCUUGCUUCGGUUAUCUACACUGCUACUUGCGAAUGAUACCUUUCUUUGCUUUCCGAGAACACAAUAUUCACAAAAGUCCAGUUUGCAAGAUGACACGCCUUCCAACAGUCCUUGCUUGUGUAGUUCUUGCAGCCCUUUCUGGCUUAUGUGCCCAAGCCUAUGAUGCCAGAGUUCAAUCUUGUCUUCUACACUCUGAUUUACAAAAACAACUGCUCCCCCAACUAUAGUGGUCCCAAUUAACUUAUACAACUUAUUGGGUUGUAGGUCACCCCGCAUUACCACUAGCGAUCCUUUGGUUACCCUGAGUUUUCCUUUUUUAGACUUGUACCCAUAACCGGCCUCAUCUAAAGUACCCAAGGAAAUCAAAUUCUUUCUUAGUCUAGGGACAUACCUGACAUUCCCCAAAGCUCGUAUCAUCCCAUUGAACAUUCUGAUUCGAACAGUGCCGAUUCCUCUUACAAGACAUGAAGAAUCAUCCCCCAUUAAGACUUCCCCGUUGCUGACUUCUUUGUAAGUAUCAAACCAUUCCCUUACUGCACACAUGAAAAGUGCAUCCGGUAUCCAAAAUCCAAUUGGUGGAAGCCUUGGAGCCUGAUGUUACUGAAAGAAGCUCCCCGUCACUCUCAUGCUCGGUGACUGCACUAGCUGAACCUGAGCUUCCUUCCAUCUUGGCUUUCUUCUCUUUCCAAAUCUUGCAGUUCCUUUUCCAAUGAUCGGCUAAACCACAUUCAAAGCAACCUUCCUUCUUUUCCUUUUUCUUCUUGGAUUUUGACCUACCUCUAUUGCCGAUUUUCUCUUCCUUUGUCUUUUCCCGUCCCCUCUCCUUGCCUUUGGCAUAAAGGCCUAGAGAGCUUUCAGUUAUAUCAUCCAGUUUAGCAUAUGACUAAAGAGCUUGAAUUACAUCUUCAAGCUUCAGGGACUCUUUUCCAAACAUUAGAGUUCUUCGAAAGUGCUUGAAAGACGAAGGUAGAGACCUCAACAAGAUGAUAGCCAUAUCAUCAUCUUUGUAAGUUUCUUCAACCUUCUGAAGAUUAGCUAUGCAAUUCUGGAACCUGCAUACAUGAUCUUCAAUAUCACCUCCUUCUAGUCGAAGCCUGAAUAGUUGAAAAACCCGCACACUAGACCUUGUUCUUUAAUGUAACCAACGACAAUAGACUAAACUAGCAAAUAUUAGAAAACUUAGAAACACA